GAGGUUGUGACUCAGCAGUAGAGUACUUGCCUAGCACAUGAGAGGCUCUGGGUUCAAACCCCAGCACCACA
rnacentral:tRNA from 1 species